UCUCGGGAUUUGUGGUCUUCCCCUCCGAUCGAUUGCUCAGUUCCCGCUUUGGAGAUUGACUACAAUUCCCAGAAGGUCGGCGCGGCCGCGUUUUGUAGCCAAUGAGCUUUCGGGUAGAGUUGGACGGAAAAGAAACCACUCUCUGGUAGGCUCUCGAAACAGCCCGGGCAUGAAUGGUUCGAAGGAAUGUCUUUCUUGAGUGGCUCAGCCAAUGAGAGGAGGCGAUGGAGGAGGCGUGUAUUGAAGCAUAUGGAGCAUACCAUUAUUACACACGGGGGCCUUUUUUCCCUCCCAAGAGUGUCCAGCCCUCUUUUGAAAAUUCUGACUGAGCGUAUCUUUAAAUCGCGUGUCAGUUUAUACUUUUUGUCUUUCACGACUGAGGUGGUGUGAAAUAUUCAGUCGGCUCUCCCCGGCGUGGAGAGAAAUGGUCGCGUCCAAGAAAGUAGUCCCAACGCGAAGCUGCAGAUUUAGAGCAGUCCGUUCAUGGCUCACUCGCUUACGGCUGCGGAAUAGCACUUACAGAUGGGAUAUGUCAAAAGGGAAGGGAUGUCAUUUGGUGGCGAAAAAGAUCUGAGCAGCGGAGUCAAGUAGGAAGUCGUUGCUGGCGGAAGGACACGUCGUUUUGUGAAGAAACAAGUCCCCAAACGAUUACUACUUUUUAGAGAAGAUCCAGAUCUCUUUCUUUCCAAAGAGGCUAGAUAUCGGUAUUUCUGAUGGCAGCUUGGAACGCAUUUUCCUUCUAGGUUGCUCCCAGAAGAUUGGCCCGGUUCCUAUUUGGACAGUCUGUUCCCCCUUGGAGUGGACAGCGGGAACACCAAACAAACAGCUGAACUCCACUAGAAAACUGCUCCUGCUGACAAUGCUGCCAGCUCUUUAUUUUUUCUUGGUGUCAAAGCUUUCGUUCAUGAAAGGUAACGUAGGGUCUAAUCCAUGCGGUGGCCUCUUUGGGCUAUUUAUUUAUUUAUUUACUUGGCACCCAGCAGCUCUAUCCUUGCCAAAAAAAAUCCUUGCUUUGGAGCAGUGGGGACUAUGUAGAAGGGCCUGGCAUAGGUUUGGGUUCAGAAAAAACUCCACCAAAGAUGGAAUUGGACCAGAGCCCCUAUGACCAGCAAAAAAUAUUGGAGGUUCUUGAAGAAAAUUCAGCUUGAUUUGGAGGAGUUGUAGUUCACCUACAUCCAGAGAGCACUGUGAACCCAAACGCUGAUGGAUCUGGACCAAGCUUGGCACACAUACCUGACAUGCUGAAAUUUGAUUACUGGAGGGAUUUGUGGGGAACUGACCUUCCCUUCUGGGAGUUGUAGUUCACCCUCAACCAGAGAAACUGUUACCAGCAAUGAUGGACCUGGUCCAAACUUGGCACACAGAAUCCCCAUUACUAACUCAACCUACUGGAUGGGUUUGAGGUGACUGACUCACCAUAGUGGGAGUUGUAGUUUACCCUACAGCCAGAGAGCACACUGAACCCCACCGAUGAUGCAUCAAGAGCAAACUUGCCCAACAUAACAAACUUUAAGUACUGAUGGAGUUUUUCGGGGUUAACCUGGCAUGAUGUCGGUUGUAGUUAAUCCACAAACUUAUGCAUUUUAUACAAUUUAAAUUUUGACUUUUUCAAAUAGCCCGGGCAAUGCCCAGUACCCAAGCUAGUCUAUAAGUAAAUAUGACACGUGAGGAUUAUGGAAAGAAUAAUGGCAAUUUGUUUUAACAUCUUUAACUAGUAUGGCUAUACAUCUCCAACUACAUCCUAUACAGCAAAAAUCACUCAUUUGGGUAUAUUGGCCAUCACAAUAUCUAUUCAAGAAAGUGUUUUCAAAAGUAGCAUCUGCGCUGCAGAAUUAAUGCAGUUUGAUAUUUCUUUAAUUUCUGUGGAAUCAUGAGAGUUGUAGCCCUCUUUGGCAGAGAAGACUACAAAACCUUGUAAAACUGCAACUCCCAUGAUUCCAUAUCAUUGAGCCAUAGUGGUUAUAUUGGGGUCAAACCACAUUCAUUCUGCAGUGUAGAUGCGCACUAAAUUUGCAAAUUGAUGGAGAUACAAUGUUGCAACUGCUUCUUUAAUUCAUAUGUUUGGAGUUGUCCCAUAGUAGCUACAUUUUGCAAGGAAAUAAUUCUACACAUAAAUUUGGAAUGGGAAAGUUCCUUCAUAUACAGCGACAUGUAUGACAUUUUGAAUUAUAUACCUGUUUUUUGGAAAUUAAACAAAUGGCCAUCAGAAGUGCAUUUUUGCACCUUUUUUUUCUGGAUCUACACCACCAAAUAAUCCAGUUUCUGAAUUCAGAUCAUCGGAUUUGAACUGGAUUAUAUGAGUUUACACUGUCAGUUCAAAGCAGAUAAUCUGGAUUCAGAAACUGGAUUAUGUGUCAGCGCAGAUGGGGCAUUUGACAACUAAGACUGAUAUUUAAUUACUGCAAAGAUAAUUUCCCACCACAUGUGUUUUAAUGUAUAGAAGAUCCAGCAAUGUUUGCAAUAUUUGGAAGAAUGAUGUAUUUACACUACAACUAAUGUUAUUUUCCCUCCUUUUGUUUUUUUAAUUUGCUUGCUUUUGUUAUACUGGAACAGUAUUGUAGGUAAGUGAAAAACCUUAAUGAUGGGAAUAAUAAGUAAAAUAUUUGGGACCUUGCAAAGUUUGGAUGAAACCAUGACAUCUGCAAGAGCUGCCAACUGCCUUGGCAAAAAAGUGUAGUUUUCCCUUGUGCCUUUAAUAAGAGACGGUGGAGAAGAAAUCGGACAAAGAAGCUUUGCACAGUAGGACAAAAACGGAAGAAGCAGUGGUCAUUUCACACUACACAAUUAUAGCUCUAUGGUUCUACCAUAAUUUCCAUGGUUCCUUCUAUGGAAUUGGAGAUGGGUAUUUUGAAUUCUCAACCAGAGAGCUCUACCACCUCACCAAACUACAAAUCCCAGGGUCCCAAAGGAUAUAGGUAUGGAAAUUCAAGUGGAAUCAUCAUGCUAUAAUGGUGUUGUGUGAAGAGUCCCCAUCUCAUAUGUCAGCCUGGAUGUACACUGCUAUAUAAUACACUUUUGAAUCUGCAUUAUAUGGUCAGGGUUUGCAUUAUAGUAAAGGUUUUCCCCUGACAUUAAGUCUAGUCAUGUCCGACUCUGGGGGUUGGUGCUCAUCUCAAUUUCUAAGCCGAAGAGCCGGCGUUAUCCCUAGACACCUCCAAGGUCAUGUCGCCGGCAUGAUUGCAUGGAGCGUCAUUACCUUCUCGCUGGACCGGUACCUAUUGAUCUACUCACAUUUGCAUGUUGUCGAACUGCUAGGUUGGCAGAAGCUGGGGCUAACAGCGGGAGCUCACCCCACUCCCCGGAUUCGAACCGGUUUGCAUUAUAUGGCAUUGUAAAUCCAGCCACCGUUACAGUAGUUGUGUGGGAAGUUGGCAAUCCUAAUUUCAGCUUCUAUUUCUUCCUGUGUACCAAAAUGACAAACUACUUGUGUGGAAACUGGCUGGCUCAAGACUUAGCAAUUCUAAUGAAUCCAAUGGGACGAAAGUUAAUCAUGGCCAAAUUCCUAUGUAGCUCCACACAAAAUAUUAUUGCCUAUGUGAGAGAAGGGGGAUACCAGUCUCUGUCCCUCCAAAGCUCACACUGUGCACUUUUCUAUUGUCACGGCAAACUCUAGGCACUUUAUACACAAUGUUGUUGUUGUGUGCCUUUACAUUGUUUCUGAGUUAUAGGGACUUUAAGGUGAACUUGUCACAGGCUUUGUUCUUAUUAAUUGUCUAAUUCUAUUUUAAUGUUGACUUUUGUAUGUUUUUAACAGCAUUCUAAUCAUUUAUUUGUAAACUGCCUUGCAUUUUAGUUUUGGGAAAAUGUUUAAUCGAAUUCCAGACAGGAAACAAUCAGGGCCAGCUGACACCUCCCAACAAAGGAUUCCCCCAGGCAGGAAGCAGGCAGGCUUUGAAGCUGCAAGGCCAUUCAAUGCGAAUUAAGGCGGCCAAUUGCAACAUUCACACUUGCCUCAGACAAGAGUUCUUUCUCCCACUCUGAGCAUUCCACAGAUAUAUAAACCUCACUUGCCUAGUUUCCAACAGACCUCACAACCUCUGAGGAUGCCUGCCAUAGAUGUGGGCAAAACGUCAGGAAAGGAUGCUUCUGGAACAUGGACAUACAGUCCGGAAAACUCACAGCAACUCAGUGAUUCUGGCUAUGAAAGCCUUGGACAACACAUUCAAUAGAAUAUUUUGAAUGUAUUUUUAUAUUACUUGUUUGUAAUCUUGUUGCAAUUAACUUUAGGUCUUUUGUGCACAGCCCUAUAUCCCAGGAUCUGGUCCUAGGUUAUCUGCUUAUCCCAGAUUAUCUGGCAUUGUAGACUCAUAUAAUCCAGUUCAAAGCAGAUAAUCUGGGAUCAGAUCCUUAGAUAUAGGGCAGUGUAGAAGGGACCUUAAUGUAUAAGCCAUCUUGAACCCAUGUCUUGGGAAAAUGCAGAGUAUAAAUAAAGAUAAUAAUAAUAAUCAUCA